rnacentral:rRNA from 1 species
CAAUAGCGUAUAUUAAAGUUGUUGCGGUUAAAAAGCUCGUAGUUGGAUUUCUGCUGAGAACGACCGGUCCGCCCUCUGGGUGUGUAUCUGGCUCUUUCUUGGCAUCUUCUUGGUGAACGUUGCUGCACUUGACUGUGUGGAGCGCUACCCAGGACUUUUACUUUGAGGAAAUUAGAGUGUUUCAAGCAGGCAUACGCCUUGAAUACAUUAGCAUGGAAUAAUAAGAUAGGACCUCGGUUCUAUUUUGUUGGCUUUCGGAACUUGAGUAAUGAUUGAAAGGGAUAGUUGGGGGUGCUAGUAUUUAACGGCCAGCGGUGAAAUGCAUGGACCCGUUAAAGACUAACUUAUGCGAAAGCAUUCACCAAGGAUAUCUUCUUUGA